rnacentral:rRNA from 1 species
AACGCGAAGAACCUUACCUGGUCUUGACAUAGUAAGAACUUUCCAGAGAUGGAUUGGUGCCUUCGGGAACUUACAUACAGGUGCUGCAUGACUGUCGUCAGCUCGUGUCGCGAGAUGUUGGGUUAAGUCCCGCAACGAGCGCAACCCUUUUCCUUAUUUGCCAGCACUUCGGGUGGGAACUUUAAGGAUACUGCCAGUGACAAACUGGAGGAAGGCGGGGACGACGUCAAGUCAUCAUGGCCCUUACGACCAGGGCUACACGCGUGCUACAAUGGUCGGUACAAAGGGUUGCUACCUAGCGAUAGGAUGCUAAUCUCAAAAAGCCGAUCGUAGUCCGGAUUGGAGUCUGCAACUCGACUCCAUGAAGUCGGAAUCGCUAGUAAUCGCGGAUCAGAAUGCCGCGGUGAAUACGUUCCCGGGUCUUGUACACACCG